AGUUUCCUGAUAUAGUAGGAAACAUGAAUUGCUUGAGGGAGCUUCGUUUAGAUGGGACUGCUAUUGCAGAACUAUCCUCAUCAUUUCAUUGUUUGGCUGGUUUAGUUCUAUUGAGCAUGAACAAUUGUAAGAACCUUGAAAGUAUUCCCAGUAGCAUACGUGGUUUGAAAUCCCUCAAAAGACUUGAUGUGUCUGACUGCUCUGAACUUAAAAACAUACCAGAGAAUUUGGGGGAAGUAGAAAGUUUGGAGGAGUUUGAUGCAAGUGGAACUUCAAUUAGACAGCCGCCAACGUCUUUUUUUCUUUUGAAGAAUCUUAAAGUAUUGUCUUUUAAGGGAUGCAAAAGAAUAGCUGUGAAUCUCACAGAUCAAAUAUUGCCUUCUUUGUCUGGUCUGUGUUCUUUAGAAGAACUGGAUUUAUGCGCUUGUAAUCUAGGAGAAGGAGCAGUUCCUGAAGAUAUUGGCUGCUUAUCGUCAUUAAGGAGUCUAAAUCUGAGCAGAAAUAACUUUAUUAGCCUGCCUAAAAGCAUAAAUAAGCUUUCUAGGCUUGAAAAGCUUGCCUUGAAGGAUUGCGUGAUGCUUGAAUCAUUGCCUGAGGUUCCCUUGAAAGUUCAAAAAGUAAAAUUGGAUGGUUGUUUAAGACUAAAAGAAAUUCCAGAUCCAAUAAAGCUAAGCAGUCUGAAAAGAUCAGAGUUCAAAUGUCUUAACUGUUGGGAACUGUACAAGCAUAAUGGCCAAAACAACAUGGGUCUGAACAUGCUUGAAAAAUACCUCCAGGUCUUCUCUUCACCAUACCCAAUCUUUAUCUCUCUCUCUCUCUCUCUCUCUCUAAAACAUUUUUGAUUUAUGAUACAGGGCUCAUCUCCAAGACCUGGAUUUGGUAUUGCUGUUCCUGGAAAUGAAAUUCCAGGCUGGUUUACUCAUCAAAGUAAGGAAUCUUCAAUUAGGGUGCAGAUGCCUUCUAAUUAUCUGGAUGGUGAUGAUAAUGGGUGGAUGGGGUUUGCUGCAUGUGCUGCAUUCAGUACAUAUGGUAAAAGUCCUCUCUUUUGUCAUUUCAAAGUCGAUGGAAAAGAGUAUUAUCCUUCGCCCAUGUAUAUAGGUUGUAACUCUAUGCAAGCUCUGUCGGAUCAUCUGUGGUUAUUCUAUUUAUCUUUUGAUUAUCUGAAAGAGCAUAAAGAACGGGAGAAUGAAUCCUCUAGCGAACUCGAGUUGUCAUUUCAUUCUUAUGAUCAAGGAGUCAAGGUGGAGAAUUGUGGUGUCCGUAUGGUAAAUUCUGGCCAUCUUAUUGUUGCAAGCAAAGAAGCAGCUUCUUCAUAUACUCCAUCAUGGCAAUCACCUACUGGCCAUCUUAUUAUAGCAAGCAAAGAAGCAGCUUCUUCAUAUAUUGAUUCUUUAGCUAAUUCUUCAUCUUAUAGUCAAUGGAUGCAUGAUGUCUUCUUUAGCUUCAGAGGUAAGCACAAUAGCAAUAAUUUCACUCAUUUGCAUACAGCUCUAUUCCAGAGAGGCAUUAUCCGAUAUAAGAGACAAAUAAAGUAUCUAAAGAAAAUUGAAUCAAGUCUCGUAAGCGACAUCAAAGAGUCGGGGCUGUCAAUUAUUAUAUUUGCAAGAGAUUAUGUUUCAACUUUGGGGUUUGGCGGAUUUGUCAAGAUUGAUGAAUUCAUGAAAAAGAUGAAAUCGGACACUGUUUUUCCAGUUUCAACAGUUUCUUAUAAUGUCGAGCAAUCACGGGUAGAUGAACAAACAGAGAGUUACACGAUUGUCUUCGACAAGGAUGAAGAAGAUUUCAGUGAAGAUAAGGAGAAGGUACAAAGGUGGAUGGAUAUUCUCACCGAGGUCGCCAUUUCAUCUGGAUCGGAAUCAUCGAAAAGGUAACUAACCCUUUCCAUCUACUUAAUUACCAACAGUAAGUGUGUUUGGUACAGGAUUGAUUAAAAGAAUGUUUUUUAAAUUGAGGUUACAAAAUAAUUAUAUAUAUAUAUAUAGUUUAAUAUUAAUGGUUUUUAAUUUAAAUAUUAUAGAUUUAACUACUAUUAUUAUAUCAUAAAAUAAAUAAUAUUGAUAUCAAAUAUUUUUUAUUAUUCCAUUAAACUAUGUGCAAUUUUAUCAUGUAUGAAAUCUACCCAACAAGGACUAUAUUUUCCAUGGUUUCUUAAGCGUGCAACAACAAAAACUGAAUUUUUUGUUACGUCAUCAAACGAUCUCCUUUUAAUUUUUUGAAUAAAAUACAAUUAAAAAUAAAAAUAAAAAUAAAAACUGAAUUUUUUUUAACUAGGUCGGACCCGGCAAGAACAUAAUUGGACUUGCGAUUAAAUUCUGUAAAUGCUACGUCAUCAAACGAUCUCCUUCUAAUUUAUGUAGUGUUAUUAAAUAAUAUUAAACACUAGUUUUUAAAGCAAAAUAUAAUUUUAAAAAAUUAAUUUUUUUAAUAUAAAUAGUUAUUCACCUAGCACUGUUCACUCCAAGUGAACAGUGUUCAGGUGAACUAUAUUCAUCUGGUUGUAGACAUGAGAAGCAGCUCUCAACUGCUUCUCACGGAAUGAUGUUUCAUAAAAAAUAUAUAUGGGUCUCAUAUGAAAAGCAGUUGAGUUUUUAUGUUACCAAACUUGAUGUUUACGCGAUGAGCUUUAAAAGCAGAAGCUCCCGCGUAAACAAACAUCCACUAAGUAGCCUUUCAAAAUCUCAAUUCACAAAAUUCUUAGGUAUUUUUUAAAGUGUUGUUGUGGUUAUUUUUUAAAGUAAAGAUAAGAACAAGGUACAAAGGUUGAUGGGUAUUCUCACCGAGGCCGCCAUUUCAUCUGGAUUGGAAUCAUCGGGAAGGUAACUAACCCUUUCCAUCUACUUAAUUACCAAACACUAAGUAGCCUUUCAAAAUCCCAAUUCAUAAAACUCUUAUGUAUUUUUUAAAGAGUUGUGGUAGUUAUUUUUUAAAAUGUUUUUAUUUUAAAAAAUAUUUUUUAUUUUUUAAAAAAAUAUUUUUAAUAUCAAUGUAUUAAAAUGAUCUGAAACAACAAAAAAAGUAUAAAUUUGAAGUGAAAAAAAAACUUUAAUUUUUUUCAAAAAUAUUUUUGAAACGUAAAAAUAAACAGGAUUUUAUUCUUGUUUUAUCUAUAUUAGAAACUUGGCAUUCAUGAAAGAUUAAAAACUACUUAAUUUCUCGUGCUAAUUUUAUGGUGAUCAUAUAUUUUAUAAGCUCACCUUGCAGAAAGAUACAGACACAAAAUCCAUGUAUAUAGUGAAUAGAGUUUUAAAUUUCACUAAGAAGUCUUGUUUCAGGGUGAAUGACGACAUGGAUUGGGAAUAUGUUUCACGGGACUGAUCUGGAGUUUGUGCUAAACGUCCGGAAAUGAUAGUCCUUGAGGAAGGAAACAAGCUUGAUAAUGAUUUUGAAUUCGAUGUUGUUAGAAAUAUUUCAAGAUAGAAAUAAAUAAGAAGUUGAUUUAGACGUGUGAAAAUAUUAUAAUUAAAGUGUUUAUUGUGUGUAGUAUCAAUAAAUGAAACUAAAUGAGUCUAAAAGUAACUAGAAAGAUAGUCAAAAACAUGGCUUAAGUUAAAAUAAAUUUAAGAUAAUAUUUUUUUUUUUAAUAUUAAGACAAUAUAAUAUUAUAUUGAUCCAAGUUAAUUUGUUAAAUUAAUCCAUAACCUAGAUUAUAGUAAUAAAGUUUAAAAAAUUUAUUUUUUUUUAAAAAAUAUUUUUUAUUUAAUUAUAUGAUAAUAAAGAUUGGCUGCAGUAGUAAAGCAUCAAAUAAAAUUUUAAAAAAAUAAUUGAUUACGGUAGAUUUUAAAAUAGAAUGAUUAUCUACAAACAAAAUAAGAAUUAAAUGAAAUUUAAUAAAAUAAUAUUUAAUUAAUCUAAGAAUUUAAAAGAAAUUAUAUAUCAUAUUUUUAAUAAUUUAAUUUCCAAAAAACUAAAUACUAAAAAUUAAAAAAAAAAGUCAGACGUCGGUACUUUAAAAUAAGCCUAUGUGUGUGGGUCCAUCAAUGCCUAAUUUUUUUUUUUUUCAAAUUAAAUAGCUUACAUAUGGUCUUUAUACCCAAAAUUAAAUAGCUUAUAGAUGCUUAGAAAAUUAAGUUGAACAAUUUUUUUGCUUCAAACACCUGAAAACACUCUUAUUGCAUCAUGCAACCAACUUCUCAACCAUCAUUAAUAAUAUGAUUUUUCAAUAAUCUAUUUUUCAAGGGAAAACUAAUAUAAAUUUUACUUUUUUUUACAAUGCUUUCUUUUCAUUGAGAAUGACAAAAAGUUUAAUUUGUUAACAAAAAAAAAAAUGACAAUACUUUCUUUAUUGUUUGCUCUGAUAAACAAACAAUAAAGAAACCAAGGUUUGCAUUGUGUUUUUUAAAAUUUAAAAUGAAAAAGAAAUUAUGUUUUUAGUUUAAUAUAUUUCUAAACGAAAAGUAUUUUAAAUUAUUAUUAUUAUUACAAUCUUAAACAGGCUCUUAACAUGUUAUGAUAUAUACUGAUGAGAAUCUAUAGAAUAUGAAUUUGAACAUAAAUUUUGAUACAACCAUGAUUAAAUUAGGAAUUUCAAAGCUUUCAUAUAUAACACAAUUAUGCUAUAUGUUUCCAAUUAUAAUCAUUUAUGUUUUUUUCUUAAUCUUGAUUAAUUAACGUAUAAAUUCUCUAAAAAUAGAAUAAUAAUUUUUAAUAAAUAAAUUAGUAACACGAAUUCAAGUUUCUGGGAGGCUUACAAAAUACGUCUACUUCUAUCAAAACAUGUUCAAUGCUAGCAAUAUUCUCACUUUCAAUCUCGAGAGGUUGAUCGGAUGGUUAAGAAUGUUUCAUAGUUUUUAAUCUCUUAAUGCAUCAAAUUAAUAUAAGCUGAAAUUCCCAUAAAAUAAGAGAAUUCAUUUCCUGGUGCAAGAAGCUCCACGAGAGGAGGGGUGGUGCCAUAUGAUAUCAUUUUCUUUGGACUUUCUCCACUGAAAGUCGUCUUUCUUCACAGUCUAACUUACAUCCUUGAAACUUUACCGCUACGAGUCCUUGAUCCAAAGAAACUGUAAAAAAAUUUAUACACAUGAAUUUAUGAAAAUUACAAUUCUGCAGUAGCAUUGAUAAAAAUUAAAACGGACCCGUUAAUCAAGUUAUUAUUUAUUUCAUAACAAAACAUCUAAUUCGGUAAUUCGACAUAAGUUUCAACAAUUUACAAACAAAUACAAUUUUACAAAAUCUAAAACAAACCAUAAGAAGUACAAAAUUAUAUAUUUAUACUAUAAGUUUGUUUGAGAAAAAACAAUAAAAUAUGUACAUAUACUAACAAAAUACACAAACUAAAAAACAUUAAAUAAUAAUAAAAUUGACAUUUUAAUGUUAAAAUUAAAAAAAAAUAGAUUUACUUACAAAAAAAGACAAAAUCCAUAAUAAAUCAGAAUACGGAUGCUGUGACUAUAAAAGUUAAAGAAGGAUGACUUGUGUUGAGAAGAGGGGGAACAAACUAAUUAAAACUUCUCUUAAAUAUUCAUUAUCAAUUAUCAACGUCCAUACAAAUUUAUACACAUAAAUUUACGGAAAUUACAACUUCGCAAUAACAUUGAUAAAAAUUAAAACGGACCUGUUAAACAAGCUAUAAUUUAAUUCAUCACAAUCUAAUUCGAUAAUUCGACACAAGUUUCAAUAAUUUACAAACAAAUACAAUUUUACAAAAUCUAAAACAAAUCAUAACAAGUACAAAAUUAUAUAUUUAUACUACAAGUUUAUUUGAGAAAAAACAAUAAAACAUGUACAUACACUAACAAAAUACAUAAACUAAAAAAACAUUAAAUAAGAGAAUUAUCUAUCAAAACAUAUGUUCAAUGCUAGCAGUAUUCUCACUCUAAAAAAAAUUAUUAAUUUUCUCUUAAUGCAUCAAAUUAAUAUAAGCUAGCUGAAAUUCCCAUAAAAUAAGAGAAUUAUCUGAUGUUUCAUUUCCUGAUGCAAGAAGCUCCACGAGAGGAGGGGUGGUGCCAUAUGAUAUCAUUUUCUUUGGACUUUCUCCACUGAAAGUCGUCUUUCUUCACAGUCCAACUUCAAACAUCCUUGAAACUUUACCGCUACGAGUCCUUGAUCCAAAGAAACUGGAAAAAAGAAAGAAAGAAAGAAAGAAAAACUCAAAGUCAUGGGAAUAUAUUUCCUAUUUAUUAUCUUUAUUUUUAAAAUAUUCUUGUAAAAAACUCUAAUUUUUAAAAAAAAUUCUCAACUAAAACAUGUAAGGAUAAAAAUAAUAAUAAUUAUUAUAGUUUUAAAACUCAACUUGGAGGUUGAUCCGGGAUAAAACCCGAGUCACCGAUUAAGAAGAUCAACCUAGGUGGACUCGAGUCAACAUAAGAAUAAUUUUUUUAUUAAAGUCUUAAAACUCAACUAGGUGGUUGAUUCGGGACAAGGCAUAGAUCACGAGUCAAGUUGAUCAUUGACCCGAGUCAACAUAAUGAUAAAAGUUGUUAUUAUCGUAGUUUUAAAACUCGAUUCAAGGGUUGACCCAGAGCAAAUCCAAUGUCAUGAAUCGAGAGAGUUAAUCUGGGUUAACACAAGUCAAUAUAUGAAUAAAAAUAAUUGUUAUCAUAGUUUUAAAAACUUGGCUCGAGAGUCGACACGGGAUAAUUCUUAAGUCACGGGUUGGGAGUGUCAACCUAGGUUGACCCAAAAUCUUUUAUAAAAAUAAAACCAAAGCAACCUUAUUUUGACAAAAAAAAUUUAAAAAAAAGUCAACAAGUUUUUGAUCCAUAUUUUAUCCGGUUUUUGACUUGACUAGGUCCGAUCCGGUCGAAGACCCAAGUGCCAAGCUGGAGGCGCUUGGGCUGCAGACACCUGGCGCUUGGCUGUCAAGCCUGGGCGCUGGGCCGACAACACCCGGUGGCCGCAUUACAGGCUGUAGCCACCUAGCGCUCGGUCUACCCAGCCUUGGGCGCUUGGGCUGCCUACCUGUGUGUUGGGCAGACCAAGCGCACAUGUAGCGCUUGGGUGACUGCUAGUGUGUUGGUAGACCAACCGCACACGUGGCGCUUGGGAUGAUUCAUAUGUGAGAAAUAUUAUUAUUAUUAUUAUUAUUAAUAAAUUUGAAAGAAAAUAUUAUUAUUAAUAUUGAAAACAUAUUAUUAUUUAUAUUCUAAAUUUUUAUGAUUUUUUUUAUAAAAAUAAAAAAGUGAGCCCGCGACGUAGUAUUAUUUAAAAUAUUCAACAAUUCUAAGUAUUAAUAUAAAAAAUAUUAUAAUUUGUGUUGUAAAUAUUAUUAUUUUUCUUAUAAUACAAAGUAUUCAUAUAAAAAAUAUUAUUAUUUGUGUUCUAAAUAUAAUUAUUUUUCUUAUAAUUCAAGCUAUUCAUAUCAAAAUAUUAUUAUUUGUGUUCUAAAUAUUAUUAUUUUUCUUAUAAUUCAACAUAUUCAUAUCAAAGAUAUUAAUAUUUGUGUAUAAUAUUAUUAUUUUUAUAAUAAUUCAAAGUUUUAAUUUAAAAAAUAUUAUUAUUUGUGUUCUAAAUAUUCUUGGAAUUAAAAAUAGUAUUAUUUGUGUUAUGAAUACUAUUAUUUUUAUUAUAAUCAAAAGUAUUAAUAUUAAAAAUAUAAUCUUUUGCGUUAUAAAUAUUAUUAUUUUUAUACAAAUUAAUAUUAUUAAUCAAAUAAUUACUAAAUUAGAAAAAAAGUAUUCUUAGUAUUGAAAAACAACCAAAACACAUUAAAUAAUAAUAAAAUUGACAUUUUAAUGUUAAAAUUAAAAAAAGAUAAAAUCCACAAUAAAUCAGAAUACCAAUGUUGUGACUAGAAAAGUUAAAGAAUGAUGACUUGUGUUGAGAAGAUGGGGAUAGUUUAGGGGGGUGGGUGUUUGCAGUUGGGGGGUGAGGCAGCUUUUUUAGAUACAGAGGUGGGGGAAGAAGAAGGAUAAAUAGGGGAGGGGAGGGGUGAUAUAUUCACUUUUACUGAUGGAAUCACCGAUGGAAUAUUUCUGUCGGUGAUUCUAUCGAUGCUUAUGUCGGUAAAGGGGUCACAUCAUUGUACGAAGAUCCCGGUUUGAAUUCUUCGAUGAUUAUAUCAGUGUUUCUGUCGGUGAGGGGGUCACAUCACUGCACGGAGAUCUCGGUUUGAAUCCCUCGGUGAUUCCAUCGGUAAAAGCACCCGCAAAAACUUUCAAAUCAUCGACCUGCUUUUUUUUUUCAAAAUUCUAAAUAGUCUCUCGGUAAUUUUGGCGGUAUAUACUGACAAAAUUAGUUCGUCGGUGUAUACUGACAGAAUUACCGAGAGAUUUACAUUUAUCGGUAUAUAUCAACGCAAAUAACCAAUAGAAAAAUUCUAUCAAUAAGUCCGUUGAUUUUAGUUGAAUUUCUGGUAGUUGUAGUAAUCGUUGCAAAGUUGCAUCAGACAACAUCGAGGGGACCCUUAACACAUAACAACGCCAUCCAAACUUACUGUUAUUACAAUCGAAGAAACACCACGUGGGGACACGUGGCACUUGAGCUCCUGUCUCAGUGUUGGUCACAGUCCAGUGCACACGUGGCGCUGUGCUGCCUGCCUGUGGUUUGGGUCCUUCAUCAAGACUCAAGGUUCAUGAGUCCUUGGAUUCUAAAUAUUAUUAUUUGUUUUAGUAAUAUUCUUAUUUUUAUUUUAAUUAAUAUUAUUAAUAAAAAAAUUAAUAAAUUUGAAAGAAAAUAUUAUUAUUAAUAUUGAAAAAAUAUUAUUAUUUCUAUUAUAAAAUUUUAUGGUAUCUUAUAUAAAAAUAAAAAGUGAGCCCACGACGUAGUAUUAUUAAAAAUAUUCAAUAAUUCUACGUAUUAAUAUAAAAAAUAUUAUAAUUUGCGUUGUAAAUAUUAUUAUUUUUCUUAUAAUUCAAAGUAUUCAUAUCAAAGAAAUUAUUGUUUGUGUUAUAAUAUUAUUAUUUUUAUAAUAAUUCAAAGUUUAAUAUAAAAGAAAUUAUUAUUUGUGUUAUCAAUAUUCUUGGAAUUAAAAACGUUAUGAAUAUUAUUAUUUCUACUAUAAUCAAAAGUAAUAAUAUUAAAAAUAUUAUCUUUUGUGUUAUAAAUAUCAAUAUUUUUACAUGUGCCCAACCCCACGUUGGACCUGGACGCGUCCGCGCCCAACCCCAUGUUGGACCUGGACACAUUUGCAUCUAACCUCAUGUCGGGUUUGGACGCGCCCGCGUCCAACGCCAUGUUAAACCUGGACGCGACCAUGACCAACUCCAUGUUAUUAUUUUUAUAAUAAUUAAUAUUAUUAUUUUUAUAAUAAUUAAUAUUAUUAAUAAAAUAAUUACUAGAUUAGAAAAAAUAUAUUAUUAAUAUUGAAGAACAACCAUAGAUUUGAAUUGAAAGGUAAAAUUAAAAAUUACUACGUGGGGACACGUGGUGCUUGGGCUGCCUGCCUGAGUGCUGGGAAGACCAAGUGCACACCUGGCACUUGGGCUACCUGCCUGAGUGCUGGGCAGACCAAUCGCGCACGUGGCGCUUAAGCUGCUUGCCUGUGUGCUGGGUUGUCCAAGCGCACACGUUGCGCGCUAGCUUGCGGUGGCAAGUGCCAACUAUUAUUAUUUUUAUUAUAAUUCUAAAAAUUCAUCUAAAAAAUAUUAUUAUUUGUGCUAGAAAUAUUAUUAUUUGUAUUAUAAAUAUUUUUUUUUAAUAUAAUUAAAAGUAUUAAAUUUAAAAAUAGUAUUAUGUGUAUUAUAAAUAUUUUUUUAUUAUAAUUAGAAGUAUUAAAAUUUAAAAUAGUAUUAUUAAUAUCAUAAUUAUUAUUAUUAUUAAAAAACAAUAAUAGAUUUGAUUUGGACGGUAGAAUUAUAAAUUAUUAUUAGUGUUAUUAUUAUCAGUAGUAAAUUGAAAAAAAAUUAUUAAUACCAUCAAAGAGACACCAUACAUUUUUUGAAGAAUGAUUAAAAAUAGGACCCAAAAUAGCCUUGGACUAUUUGGUAGGGGCAUGUGGAGAGGCUAUAGCUGCAGGACCCAAGCGCCAAGCUGGAGGCUCGUCCAUUGGGGUUGCGGACACCUAGCGCUGGGCAGACCACACCCGCUGGCCAUGCCCCCGGCCUUGGCCACCUAGCGCUCGGUCUGCCUAGCUUGUGUGUUGGGCAGACCAAGCGCAUACGUGGCGCUUGGAUUGCCUGCCUGUGUGCUGGCAGAACAAGCGCACACGUGGCGCUUGGGCUGCGCCAAGACCCAACUAUCCUUGGGUCCCGUAGGCUGCAGCACCCAAAAUAACCUUGGGUCAUUGGCAGCACAAGACCCAAAAUAGACUUUAAUGCUGCCAGUGUAAGAAGUCCGGCAAUAUGCAUGACCCAAAAAAUCGAUGGGUUGUGCCAGCACCACAACCCAAACUUUAAAUAAAAAUAAAAGGUGAACCCGCGGUAUAGCGCGGGCCACAUAACUAGGCUUACCUUAUAAGAAUCUUUUGUUCACAUCUAGAUGCAUUAUUUGUCAACAGUCAUUUUGUUUUUUAUAUCAUUUUGUUUUAUUUAAUAGAAAUAAUUAUUAAACACAAUUAUUUCUAUUAAAUCACAGGACAUUUACCAUAUUGGAGUCGGAGAGGGAGGGAAGAAAUUCCAAGAAAAUUCAUUAAACAUCACAGGAAAUUUCCCAUAAAUCACAAUGUAGCUGAAAAAACCAUAACAUUUGAAAAUUCUUUGAUGUUUCAUUUCUGACUUCGGAGGCACUGCCCAAGACUUUUGCUAGGAAGGUGCCAGGCUGCCAGCAAUAAGAAAGAAAAAUCCAAUUCUCGUUUGGAAAUUUUCAAGUAGACUUGGCAUGUGUUGGCAGAAAUCAAUCAAUCAUACAUUGAUUUUUGCUCAGAGAUCAUAACAGAGAAAUAUACAUGGACCAAUUAACUAUUAAGUAUUGUUUAAUUUUUGAAAUAUUUAUUUAAAAUUGAUAAACCAGCACUGGAAGAGUUCGUUACGUAACUAGCAAGUUAGUUAAAGUCAGUUACAUAUAACAGAAAGUUAGUUAUACAGUUAUGUUAGUUAAGCCAGCUGUACUGGCAGUUAACCUCUUCUUGUUAUAACCGUUCCUCCUUGUAACGUACUCUCUAAGGAUUGUAUAUAUAUGUGGUUAUCUCUGAUCUUAGUAAUUAGAGAAACAUAGAUUAACAUUUUCUCAAUUUCUAUCUUGGUAUCAGAGCUUGCGUUCUCCUUUUUCUUUUUAGCCAUGGCUUCUGCGUUUAAUCAGUCUUCAUCCACCUCUGGUCCGGUUGGUUCUGGACAAAGCACAACAAUGGCGUCCAUCCCCACUCAUCAGAUGCUCAAUCAUACAUUACCUGUGAAACUUGAUCGAUCAAAUUACGUCUUGUGGAGGUCUCAGAUUGAUAAUGUUGUCUUUGCCAAUGGAUUUGAGGACUUCAUAGAUGGCACAGCCAUCUGUCCAGAGAAGGAGUUGAGUCCAGGAGUGAUUAAUCCAUCUUUUGUCGCUUGGAGAAGACAAGAUCGCACCAUCCUCAGCGGAUAUACUCAUCCCUCACAUCUGCUAUCAUGGCACAGAUCAUUGGCUACAAUACAUCUCACACUACCUGGAAUGCUUUGGAGAAAACUUUUUCAUCUUCCUCAAAAGCCAGAAUCAUGCAACUAUGGCUUGAAUUACAAUCCACGAAGAAAGGAUCUCUGUCCAUGAUAGAUUACAUUAUGAAGGUCAAAGGAGCUGCAGAUAAUCUAGCAGCUAUUGGAGAACCUGUUUUAGAACAAGAUCAGGUAAUGAAUCUCCUUGGAGGCCUUGGUUCUGACUAUAAUGCAGUAGUCACUGCCAUCAUCAUUAGAGAUGACAAGAUCUCUAUUGAAGCAGUUCAUAGUAUGCUACUAGCAUUUGAGCAUCGUCUUGAGCAACAAAGCUCACUUGAUCAUAUCUCCCCUAUAUCUGCCUGUUAUGCCUCUUCCUCUAAUAACAGAGGUGGUGGAAGAAAAUACAAUGGCAGCCGAGGACACAGCCAUAUUUCCAAUACCAGCAACUACACCUACAGAGGUCAUGGUCGUGGGGGCAGAUAUGGAUAUAAUGGGAGACACAAUUCAACCAAUCCUGAAAAGCCACAAUGUUAGUUGUGUGGCAAGUUUGGUCAUACUGUUCAUGUUUGUUACCAUCGUUUUGAUAUCUCAUAUCAAAACUCACAAAACAAUGGUACUUCCUCUUUGAAUGCUGGAAAUCAAAACACAAUACCUGCUAUGGUUGCAUCUUCUCAUAAUUCUGCAGGUGACGAUUGGUAUCUUGACUCUGGAGCAAGUCACCAUCUGACUCAGAACGAAGGGAACCUCAACAAUUCUGCACCUUACACAGGCACAGACAGAGUCAUAGUUGGUAAUGGUAAGCAUCUAUCCAUUUCCAACACUGGUUCCCACCGGCUAGUCUCUAAGUCACAUUCUUUUCAGCUUAGAAAAGUGUUUCAUGUUCCCUUUAUCUCAGCCAAUCUGAUAAGUGUUGCUAAAUUCUGCUCAGACAAUAAUGCCUUAAUUGAGUUUCGGUCUAAUAGUUUCAUUGUGAAGGACUUGCAUACGAAGAAGGUGCUAGCGCGAGGCAGACUUGAGAAUGGACUUUACAGAUUUCCAGUACUGCACAGUAACAAGAAAAUGGCAUAUGUUGGCGUUCGUAAUCUUUCCACUUUUCAUUCCCAUAGACUCAAUCCUGUUCAUGAUAAAGUGGAACUUUGGCAUCACAGACUAGGCCAUGUUGCCACUGACAUUGUAGUUCAAGUAAUGCAAAGUUGUAAUGUCUCUUGUGAAAGGAAUAAAACUGUUGUUUGCUCUUCUGUUUGCCCUUCUUGUCAAUGGCCAAAAGUCACAGGUUGCCUGCUCAUCCUUCACCUUCCCGUGCUUCCAAACCUUUGGAACUCAUUCACACUGAUCUCUGGGGACCUGCCAUGCUCAAGUCUACAUCAGGGGCAAAAUACUUCAUUCUUUUUCUCGAUGAUUAUUCACGUUAUACAUGGUUCUACCCUCUGCAAACCAAGGAUCAAGCUCUCUCAGUGUUCAAACAGUUCAAACUUCUAGUAGAAAAUCAGUUUGAUGCACAAAUAAAAUGUCUACAAUCUGACAAUGGUGGUGAAUAUCGAUCCUUUAUGACAUUUCUCCAACAAUCUGGCAUUUUGCAUCGAUUUUCUUGCCCUUAUACUUCAGCUCAGAAUGGGAGAGUAGAGAGGAAGCAUAGGCAUGUUGUGGAAACUGGAUUGGCUUUACUAGCUCACGCCUCCUUACCAAUGCAGUUCUGGCAAUAUGCCUUCCAGUCAGCCACUUUCCUCAUCAACAGGAUGCCAAGCAAGGUACUAAACAAUGACUCACCUUACUACACUCUUUUUCAUAAAAUUCCUAAGUACAAGUCUUUCAGAGUAUUUGGUUGCCUGUGCUAUCCAUUCAUUCGUCCCUAUAACAGUCACAAGUUGCAGUACAUAUCUCUUCAAUGUGUUUUUCUUGGGUAUAACUUCCAAAACAAAGGUUAUUUGUGUCUUGAUCCUCUAACUGGACGUGUAUAUGUCACCCCCCAUGUUGUAUUUGAUGAAACCAAAUUCCUUGACACUACACCUUCCCUUACCAGAGAUUCCCCAGCAGAGAUCCUCACUCCAGCUAUCUUACCUUUCCCCAGUUCACUACCUACAGACAUCAGUCAUUCACCACCACAGUCUGCUUUACCCUUCCCAAGUGACAGUACACGUUCUAUGAGUGGUUCCACAUCCACUCCUGUCUCUCAUUCUGAACCUGCAUCAAUUCCUGAGGAUCAAGAUACUUGUUCUGCCCCAGCUCCACGAAUGACCACACGAUUGAUGCAUGGUAUAACCAAGAAAAAGACCAUUUUUGAUCUCUCUGCUACAAAAAUCUCAACACCAUCCACUCUCAGUCAGGCCCUCAAAGACUCAAAUUGGACUCAGGCUAUGGAUCUAGAGAUAGCUGCUCUACAUAAAAACCACACUUGGGAUCUUGUUGACCAACCUGCUGCUGUUAAUAUAAUCGGUUGUAAGUGGGUCUAUAAGUUGAAGCACAAGCCAGAUGGAAGCAUCGACAGGUAUAAAGCCAGGCUUGUGGCUAAAGGGUAUCAUCAAACUCUUGGCCUUGAUUAUUUUGAAACAUUUAGUCCGGUUGUUAAGGCUGCCACUAUUCGAAUCAUCUUAACUGUUGCAAUCAGUUUUCAGUGGGAAAUUCGUCAACUUGAUGUUCAUAACGCAUUCCUAAAUGGUGAGUUAAAGGAGCAGGUUUAUAUGACACAGCCUCCAGGCUACGAGGAUCCUAAAUUUCCCACCAAAGUCUGUCGAUUGAAGAAAGCUUUAUAUGGUUUGAAACAAGCUCCACGAGCUUGGUUCCAACGGCUCAGCUCUGCCCUUUUACAAUGGGGAUUCAGUAACUCUAGGACCGACAGUUCCAUGUUCCUUUCAUUUUGGUGCUUCCACAACUCUGAUAGUUCUAAUCUAUGUGGAUGAUAUUCUCAUAACCGGCAGCUCAUCUCAACAGAUUUCUUCACUCAUUACCAAACUUGAUUCUGUCUUUGCGUUACGCGACUUGGGGCAGCUCUCCUACUUUUUGGGAAUAGAAGUUUCUUAUCUUGAAGGAUGUAUGUAUUUAAGCCAAACCAAGUAUACCUCUGAUUUACUGCAUCGCACAGCAAUGUUUAAUACCAAAGCUGCCAAAACUCCUGGCGCUGUUGGGCAAAAUUUGUCAAAGUUUGAUGGUGCCCCUAUGGAAGAGGUCACUCAAUAUCGCAGUAUAGUAGGUGCCCUUCAGUACCUUACCAUUACCAGACCUGACAUUGCUUUUGCUGUUAAUAAGGCAUGCCAAUUCAUGCAACAACCAACCACAGCUCACUGGCUUUCUGUCAAAAGGAUCCUUCGGUAUCUCAAAGGCACGUUACAUGAUGGUUUGUUGCUACGUCCUUCACCUCAUUUGACAGUUGAAGGUUUCACAGAUGCAGACUGGGGGGCUCAACCUGAUGAUCGACGAAGUGCGAGUGGAUAUCUAGUUUAUUUAGGGGAUAACUUAGUCUCCUGGUCCUCAACGAAACAGAAGGUAGUGUCUCGCAGCAGUGCAGAAUCAGAGUAUCGGGGACUGGUUUUAGCUACUGCUGAAAUCAUCUGGAUGCAGGCUUUACUACAGGAGCUGUGUGUUUCUCCUCCUGCUAUUCCUCUUCUUUGGUAUGACAAUAUCAGUGCUUAUCAUAUGGCGAAGAAUCCUGUUUUCCAUGCCCGAACGAAGCACAUAGAGAUUGAUCUCCACUUCAUUCGUGACCAAGUUCUCAAAGGAAAAUUACAGCUGCAGUUUGUUCCUACUGACGAGCAGCCAGCUGAUUUAUUAACCAAGCAUCUACCAAGUGCAAGGUUCUUGUUCCUCAAGUCUCAACUGUGCAUCGUCCCCAGACCCUUUCACUUGCGGGGGGAUGAUAAACCAGCACUGGAAGAGUUCGUUACGUAACUAGCAAGUUAGUUAAAGUCAGUUACAUAUAACAGAAAGUUAGUUAUACAGUUAUGUUAGUUAAGCCAGCUGUACUGGCAGUUAACCUCUUCUUGUUAUAACCGUUCCUCCUUGUAACGUACUCUCUAAGGAUUGUAUAUAUAUGUGGUUAUCUCUGAUCUUAGUAAUUAGAGAAACAGAGAUUAACAUUUUCUCAAUUUCUAUCUAAAAUUACUUUUUUUUUAAUAAAAUAUACAUGGAGCACUUGAUGGUUAGAAUAACAAGUGAAAGUAUAUAUAUAUAGUGUUUUUGAUAUUGUGGUAAUUAUUAUGAUUUGUGGUAGAGGUUUGAGAACGUAAACAAGUUUGCCACUUCGUGAGCCCCCUGUACAACGGUCACCUGUACGUCCUUGUCUGCAUUGAAGGCAAUCUUCUUCACAAUCUCAUAAGAAAAAAUCCAGGACGUUUACCAGUACGAGUUUCUGCUCUAAAGAAACCGGAUAAAAAACAGAGAGUGAAGGAUCGAGGGUGUAAGAGAGGAGAAAAAUCAGAGAGGGAGAGGGGGAUCUGGAAGUUACACAGUUGGAAGAGGCCAGAAGAAGAAAGAAUUGGGCUUUGGCUAGAUCUGUCGCCUCUCUACUCAACUCUUCCCACACGGUUUGUCUCUGCUGCGUGCAUUCGUAUACAACUAGUAGAAAUUUGGUUUCUUAGUAGAAUUAUGUUCCAGCUUGAGUUUGUCAAAUCUCUUGCUCUUAACUUUUUGUUUCAUGUCUGAACUCAGGAGAAGGCUAUUAUGCACUAUAAAAUGGCAUGGAAGUUAACCAGUUGCUGAACCAUCGAUCCCUGGAUAGUUAAGAGCUAAGAAGACUAGAAGGAAUCAAUCAGUAUUUAUUUAUUGCUACUGGGAUUCCCAUGGCCUCAUCCAGCAUGCAGAAAGGAACCUCAUCUUCUUAUUCUGCUCCCCAAUGGAUGUAUGAUGUCUACCUUAGUUUUAGAGGCAAAGACACACGGAAUAACUUUACUAGCCAUCUAUAUUCUAAUUUGGAACAAAGAGGCAUCGAUGUAUACAUGGAUGAUAGCGGGCUAGAGAGAGGAAAGACCAUCGAACCUGCUCUCUGGCAGGCCAUCGAAGAUUCAAGAUUUUCAAUCGUUGUGUUUUCAAGAGAUUACGCGUCUUCACCAUGGUGCUUAGAUGAGCUUGUCAAGAUUGUUCAGUGCAUGAAAGAGAUGGGGCACACUGUUCUACCAGUUUUUUAUGAUGUGGAUCCAUCAGAGGUAGCCGAUCAGAAAAGGAAUUAUAAGAAGGCGUUCAUUGAGCAUAAGGAAAAGUUCUCGGAAAAUUUGGACAAGGUAAAAUGCUGGAGUGAUUGUCUCUCCACAGUGGCCAAUUUAUCUGGUUGGGAUGUACGGAAUAGGUAAACUAAGCCUAUUUAUAUUUAUUUUGGAUGGAGUUAUUACUGUCUCACAAAUCGUUAUUCAUAUAAGAAGUGAUCGAGCUUGUUCUUGGAAAACAAUUAGAAGAUAACUUAGUGGCCAACAAAAAUAUGAUAGAAAUUGGUUUUUUGUCUGUCAAAACCAAACUUUUUUAACUUGGCAAAUUUUAUUAUUUUCAAAUGUAAGGGGAAAAAAAAUUAACCAAGAGAAUCUAAAAUAAAAAAAUAAUAAUUAAAAAAAUGAUAGUGAAAAUAAAUUCAAGGGCAACUAAAAAUUUAUAUUGGAGGGUAAAUUGAAAAACAAAUCCAAUAAAACAAAAUAAAAUUAAAAAGUAAGGAACAAAUUGAAAGAAUAACACAUCAUAAACUUGGAUUGAAGUGUGAAAUUGAAAACCAAUAAAACUUUUAUUAAAGAGUUAAGGAAAAAAAUUAGAAAUAAAAAGAAUAUAGAACUAAUUAAAAAUAAUAAUUUAUGAGAAAUUGAAGUUAAAUUAACUACAAGAUUUCACAGUUUUACCGACAGACCAAUUCCGUCGGUAUGUGAUUAGAAGUUCGUCGGUGAUUUUUUUACCGACGUCAUCACCGACGGAUGUAACGGAUUACAUCCGUCGGCUUUCCCUUCGUCGGUGAUUCCCCCUUCCGUCGCUAUAUCGGUCGAAAAAACAAAAAAACCAUUUGCCGAUGGUUUUACAGACGGAAUUUGCGCGCCAAAAAAAAAGAUUCCCGCUUGAAAUAUACCGACGGAUUUUCAUUCCGUCGGUGAUAUUGGAUUUUCAUUCCGUCGGUGAUAUUUAGGAUAUAUAAUAUAAAACUAUAUAAAUUAAUUGUAAUACAAACCAAUUAUGCAAAUAAAAUUUAUAUUAAACAUAAAAAAAAAAACAAAGUUAAAUAAUAUUCAUUACAAACUGAAUAUGUUUCAAGAAACAUAUUAAAUGAAGUUUUAAAGGUAAAUAAUGUUGAUUACAAAUUAAUAUAAAGGUGGAGCUGGAGGAGGAGGAGGAGAUCCUGGAGGAGGCUGGUGGUUAUACGGCCAAAAAAGAUUAGGCGCACAUGUUCCACUAUUUGUCAUGUUCAUAAUCAUUUCGCGAAGCUGUUCAUAAGCCGCUUUUUGUUGUUCACAAGCCGCUUCAUACUCCGCUAUUUGUUGUGCUUGAGACGCUUUGAUUUGCUCAGACUCCGCUCUUUGUUCCACUCUUUGUUGUGCAUGAGACGUUUUGAGUUGUGCGUACUCCGUUGAUAGGUUAUUGUAUUUCUCGGUGAGCUGAGCCGUGUGUUGCUUCAAGGCCACGAACUCCUUAGAUUGGGAGCUCGAUAUUGAUUGGGAGCUCCCAACGGUUGAAACACUACGGGUCGACCGCAAGUUGUCGGCCGUAGUAUUGGAGAGCCCGUAAACCCGAUUUUUAUCGUGUCCACCUGACGAGCCAACCUCUAUCCACAAAUCCGGAUGAGUCAAAAUAUCGUCCCUGUAUCUCUCCCUCAAACGAUUAUUAUAGGUCUCCUGAAAAUAAAAAUAAAAAGUAAUCAUCAUAUUCAAUACAAUAAACAUAAUAACUUACAUAAUAACUUACAAAAUAAAAUGGUUGAACAAACAUACCACGAAAUGUUGAGCACGGUUAUCAAUGAAAUGUUGCGCCCCCUUCUGGCGGUCUUGACUCCGCACGUGCGUCUCCACAAACAGCUCCAUCGGGCUCGGCUCACGUCCAAGAGACGCAGCCUAUAAUGAAAAAAGAUAUAUUAACAACAACUGAAUUUAACGAUAUAUUUCAUUUAAAUUAAUCUUACCAUCCGUUUCGCAUGUGCAGCAAACGAAACGGAGCCGCCAGUGUGCGUUGUCACCCCGCCAUGAAUUGGCCGAUUCCGGUUGCCAGCACCGGACUGUGAGUGUCGUGUGAACCGCUCAGAAGUCACGUGCUCAAGAUAGUGCGGCCAUAUAUCUUCCGGGAUGUAUAUCAGUUUGAAAUCCCUCCAAACCGCAACAUCGUUUCAGCCUUGGAAACCCCUAUCCCUCGUGGUUUUUUUUGCCUUUUUUUGUGCUUCAUACCAAAAAUCACGCAACCUACUUCACGCAACCAAAAAUUACAUUUCGAAACAUAAAUUUUUGUCUAAAAAAAAUCUUGUAUUGUUUUCGAUCUUACCUAGUUGCCGCGUGAUUUUCCCACACCCUCCUCACAACAGUGUUAUGCUCAUUGUCCCAGCAGAAUUUGUGCUGUGUAUAAAUAAACAAGUUUAAAUAAAAAUAAUAAUUUAUUUACAAUUAUAUUAAUAAGCUGAAAAUUAUAAAUUAAUACCAACCUCAAACUUGUUAAACCAUGCAUUGAUUUGAGGCAUCCAUUCAGGAUGUUUGGAUAUCUGACUCCAUUGAAACAAUGGAAUCUCCAUCGACGAAACAAUGGAAUCUCCAUCGACGAUUUAAACGCCGAUGAUAUUACUCGGGCGGCUUCAAUGUUUGUGAACCUGAAAAUUCAUAAAUUAUGUUGUAAUUUAAAAAAAAAACUAAAACCUUAACAAACUUACAUUGAAAGGUCGUCCUUCCACUGUGCCUCGUACUUGCGCGUAAAUUGAUUCCGCUGCGAAGGCACGUCGCCUUUGCGCUGUGAAGUACCGCUGGAAGAGGCAGCAUCAGUUGACGGCGCAGGUGGUGUAGGUGCCUCUUCUUGAGAGGCACCUAAGGAAAUAUCAUCCUCGCUGCUAGACGAACUAGCUGCGACCGUACUUGAGCGACCAGCUCUGGUUUUCGUUUUACGCAUCUACACAAUUUGAUACAAAUAAUUAUAUAAUUAAAUUCAAAUGUAAAAAAAAAAUUCGACAGCACCUCCCCUAUACCGGAUACUACCCAAAUCCACAAACCUGCACAUAUUAACAAUAGCCACAACCAUACCCAAUCUAUACUAAUUAUUUCAACAUAUUCAAUUACUAAUCCUAAGGUAAUUUCAACAUUUAAGAAUUACAAUUGAAGUAAUUAUUCAAUAAUUAUGCCAAUACAACAGAACAAUAAAUUAAAAAAAAACUCUAGAAUAACAAUCAAAAUAAAUGGAAAAAAUUAAACACAAAGCAUGCAAUAAUAGAGUAAAAGUAAUAAUUAUUCCAACAUAUUCAAUUACUAAUUCUAAAGUAAAUUCAACAUUAAGAAUUACAAUUCAACAAAUUAUUCAAUAAUUAUGCCAAUACAACAAAACAAUAAAUUAAAAAAAAAACUCUAGAAUAACAAUCAAAAUAAAUGGAAAAAAUUAAACACAAAUCAUGCAAUAAUAAAGUAAAAUUAAUAAUUAUUCCAACAUAUUCAAUUACUAAUUCUAUGGUAAAUUCAACAUUAACAAUAAAUAUUCAACAAAUUAACUAAUAAUAAUUAUGCCAAUACAACAAUAAAAAAUAUUCAAUAAAUUCAAAAAAAAACUAUAGAUUUUAGCAAUGAAUUAUGCAAAAAAAACUAUAGACUUUAUCUACAUUACAAAAAAUACACCAAAACAAAAACAAUAACCAAAAAAAUAGCAAAACAAAACCAUUAAAGUAAAAUGAAAUAGAGGAAACACUAACCUUUUAAACUGAUGGAGAUUCACGAUAAAAAACGCUUGAGAUCGCCUGAAGAACGAAGAGGAAAAGAAUGGUGAAAAACUGAGGAGAAGAGAAAAUGAACUGAAGAGGCGGUCGGGGGAGUUUAAAUGCCAUUUUUACCGACGGAUUCACCGACGUCUAUAAAAUUAAUUAUUAUUUUAAUUUAUUCCAUCGGUGAGGUGUUAAAAAUCCGUCGGUGAAUUUUGAAUUUCGCACCAAAUUUUUUAAUGGCCCUCCAUAUUUUUCGCAGUUCGUCGGUCAAUCCGUCGGCAAUCUGACGCGGUCAGAGAUGCAUUUAAUGCACAACCCUUUGAUAUUCGCGCAGUCCGUCGAGAAUUCUGUCGGUAAAAUUGACAACGUACCAACGGCUAUAUAUUCGUCGGUGUGGCCGUCGAUGAUGUGGUGGCAUUACCAGUAAUUAUUUUCGAACUCUCUGUGAAAUGCCGACGGAAUUAAGUUCGUCGGUGUGGCCGUCGGUGAUAUGGUGGCAUUACCAGUAAUUAUUUUUGAACUCUCUGUGAAAUGCCGACGGAAUGAAGUCCGUCGGUGAUGUGGUGGCAUUUCAAGUAAUGCCGACGGAAUUAAUUCCGUCGGUGUGGCCGUCGGUGAUUUGGUGGCAUUACCAAUAAUUAUUUUUGAACUCUCUCUGAAAUGCCGACGGAAUUAAGUCCGUCGGUGAUGUGGUGGCAUUUCAAGUAAUUAUUUCAUGUCACAAAAUAUAUCAUCCAUGAUCAAUAAUUAUUUCAAAUAAUUAUUUCGUAAUUGUGACAUUUCAACUAAUUAUUUCAAGUAAUAAAUAUUUUGUGUUUCAAAAUAUAUCAUCCAUAAUCUAAAUUACAUGAAAAAAAGGGUUUUACAUAGGGCUUCAUUUUGGUAGUUAGUCAGAAUUUUCUUCUUCUUCGUCAUCAAUUGAAUUGUCAUCACCUUCAUCGCAAUCUUCAAUAUGAAUAUCAUCUUCUUCAUCGACAUUUGCUUGUCCGCUAGAGCUCAAAACAAAAUUCAACUCCUCUGCGUCAACAUCAACAAGACUAUCAUCAAAAACACGAAAAUUUGAAUUUUCUUCCAAUUCAAUCGAAGGAGUAACUCGAUAUGGUUCAACCACCUCACUAACUUGAAAGACUUCAUCUCGCACACUUGUGUCUUCGUUCUCAUCCUGAACAACCUCGACACGACCCCGGGGUUUCGUUUUUAAAACGGACAACCAAUCCACUCUUGAUCGAUCCUUUCUAAAUGAAGGGGUGUAUGUGUAAUAAACUUGUUGACAUUGCUUUGCGAAAACAAAGACAUCGUUUAUGUUGCGGAGUCUAGCUUGCGGAUCAACUCUGAUUCCUCUGUCAGUCGUGUCAUACCAAUAGCAUUUGAAUAAAAACACUAUAUUCUGCUCGUUAUGAUAUUGCAGUUCGACGACCUCUUCUAAUCUACCAUAGUAGUCAACUUCUAACUCACUACUAGUGGAUCCCUUAACACAAACACCGUUGUUGUAUGUCUUUCUUCCUUGCCCGUAUUCUUCAGUAUGGAAAACAUAUCCAUUGACAAAAUACCCAUUGUAGCACUUACAUUUUCUUUCAGGCCCCAGGCUUAGUGAAGACAAUGACUUAGGUGCACUCCUUCCCAUUUGAUAAACCUUGUAUGUAAUGUACAUCAAUAAACAGUAAAUGAACGAGAAUCUCGUAAUGACAUGCAUACGUACAGUAAUUUUGCAAGUUAGAAUGAGUUUGUGAUAGUGCUUACAUGUGUUCUGAACCACGUGGCAAACUGCUCAUCUUGUAAUUGAAAGAUCUGGGAUUCGGUCAGCUGUGAGUUAUUGGAGAGCAAAUAUUGACGAUGUUGCCUGCAAGUGAUAAUGAGUGUAUGAUAUUACAAUAAAUAAUUAACAGUAUAUUACUAACAAAGUUUAAUUAGUUUAAACUUACUAAAUAAAAGGUCUCGGCUCAUCACAGUUAAAUAGAACAUAGUUGUGUGCUUGUUUGAACUCUAUUUCCGACAAAUAUCUUCCUCUUACGGCAUUUUUAGGUGUGGGUCGUCCAGUAUUGGAGAAUAUUGACAAGUUCCCACUGGAUGGCACUUCACUGCCAUCUUCAUGUCGUGGAACGCGAUUGAUUCUCGUUCUCAGAUGAGGUUCAAAAUAGUACGAGAUAAAUGUUGAGAUCUCCUCAACAAUAUAGGCCUCACAUAUCGAAGCCUCAACAUGCGCCUUGUUCUUAAUCUUUUUCUUGAGAUUAAACAAGUACCUGCAUUGAAAUAAUAAUCAAGUAUUUUCAAUUAAGAAAAACAUAUAAAAUACUUUUAUAUAUGAAUUCCAUUGCAACUGUAAUAUCUAACCAUUCGAAUGGGUACAUCCAUCUAUAUUGGACCGGACCUCCAGCUUUUGCCUCGAACGGUAGAUGUAUAGGGAGAUGCUCCAUUGAGUCAAAAAAUGAUGGAGGGAAUAUCAUCUCAAGUUUGUAUAGUGUCUCGACGAUAUUUGUUUGAAGCCUCUCAAUGUGAUCAACAUUUAACUUGUUGGAGCAUAUAUCUCUGAAGAAAUGACUGAUCUCCGUGAGUGCAUCCCAUAUUCCCUUUGGCAACAAAUCACGAAAAGCUAAUGGGAUGAGUGUUUGCAUAAACACGUGGCAGUCAUGACUCUUCAUUCCAUACAAUCUGCAAUCCUCUAUAUUAACCAGCCUUGAUAUGUUCGAUGCAUAUCCAUCCAGAAAACAUAGACUCUUAAGCCAUUUGUAGACUAGCUGUGAAACCCUAGAAAAUUUAUGAUUUAAAUAUGCGGAUGCAUAACCUACCAUGUAAACGUAAGACUGAAAGUGAUAUAUAAUGGAGGGGAUGACCUCUAUAAAGUGAAUUUUGUUUUAGAAUUCAUAAAGACAGAAACUGGUAACGUGUUUUGAUGAAUAAAAUAAUGAGAGAAAUGACAAAAUGAAUAUAUUCUAAAAUAAUAAAAUGACCUUAAAGGUUUAGAAGGAUAAUUGAUAUUAUUUUAUGUGAAGAUUGAACAAGAAAAUUUGGAUAGUUGACGAAAAGUCAUAAACUGACCAAAUUUACAUUAGAAAGCAGAGCUCUCAAUCCAAUCGUCGGAUUGGGAUGAAAUUUUGCAUGAAGUCUAUUAAUAUGUUUUCCUACAUUGGUGAAAGAUAUCAUCCCAAUAAGAGUUUGGUAAAGACUAACGAUUUAAGCAGAAACAAACCGGAUGGUUUACAUGAAAAAAAAAUAAAUAAUAUAUAAAUACAUAAAUGAGGGACAUAAAUGUAAUUAGGAAAAAAUGGUGCCUUUAAAAACAAGGCCACCAGAUUAAAUAAAGAAAAACGAAAAGGGGUGAGAGACUAGAGAAUUCGGUUACAGAGAGGUGCAGGAUUUGGAUGAACCGAUAAUACUUCAAUGGCCAUAUCUCUGGAAUCCACCGUUGGAUCAUGUUUAUUUUUGGAUAUAUUGUUCUUCUUCCACUCCUCUAUUAACGGACCGGAGGGAUUUGAAGAAACAUAAUCCAUUGAACAGAAAUCAUCAUCGGAAGUGUACUGGAAAACAUAAGGAAAUAUACCUGCAGGGCAGUUUUGGUCGCCGGCCGAUUUCUCUGUCUUCCACCGUUGGAUCGUGCCUAUUGUUGGAUAUAUGGUGCGCCUAGAUGUGGCCUGCAUUCUGGACGGUGGAGAUCGGAAACGCACUCUCCGGCAAGGUUUUGUUCAUGUUGAACAGUAGCUCGUCCAUUUUCAGGUUAGUUCGGUUUUAUUCAGAUCUAUGGAGAUCCAACCGUUGGAUUAUUAUGAUUUUGAGAUAUUGUAUACAACACAAUGAUAUAUAUUCUGACCGUUGGGUUCAAGGAAAUUAUCAAAGGUGGAUGCGUUGUUGCUAUUUGAAUCUAUUGCUAGUCUUAGUAAAACAUUUAGGAAGCUUGAUUUAAUUACAUGUUUUGAUGAAAUUAAAAUUGUGUGGGUGUAGGGUUUAUGUAAGAUGUAAUGGUAAAAUGUGUUCUUGUUAUUAGUGUUGUUAUAGAUUAACUGUGUUGUAAAAUGUGUUAGGGAAGUUUUGAAAUUUGGAUGAAGGGACAUUGAGUUUGUUGAUUUAAUGGAUAUAUGUUUUUAGGCAUUAAAAAGGAUUGGGUCUAGUGGUAAUUGAAAGAAAACUUGAAGAAAACUUUAUCCUCCAUUUAAUGCAAAGAUUCGGCCUAGACAUAUAAAUGAGAGGAUGAGCUUAAUUGUUUUAAUUGCUAUGGAAUUUGAGUUGAAUGAUGUUAGAAUAGAUAUGAAAUGAAUUGGUAAAGGUUUAUCUGGAAUAAUUAAAAAGGGAAUCAUCCCUCACCAUGAAUGAAGGCAUUCGGCCAAAUGAAGAAGAAAUAAGGAGAUAAGACUUUGAUUCAUUUUCUAUGAAAAUUAGGUAUGGAUGCAUAUAUUUGUAUAAAGAAAAUUAGGUAGAGUGUCAAUUGGAAGAAUUUUAAAAAGAUCCAAAUUCUCAUCAUAAUAUGGAAUCCAACCAAAAAUGGAAAUCUUGAACUUGAGUUUAUUCGACCUAAUGUUAAGGGGAUUUUUAUGGGAUUGUGGUUUGUUGAAUGCCAAAUGAAUUGUGUUAUGUUUGAAAUAAUAGAUUAAUGUGAGGAAAAUUUCAUUUUAUGGAAUUUUAACGCUGUCCAAAUGAAUAAUAAAAGGGGAGGAAAAGGUUAAAUUAAGGCGUACAUGGAAUUAUGAUGAAAAUAUGUUGUUAAAUUUACUUAAGAUGAAGUAAAGUGGACUUAUGAAAAAGAAUUGAAAAACUCGUCAUGAAAAUAAAUAAAUAAAAAAUAAGGUCAUUCGGCCAAGAGUUGGUUUGAUAAGGAAACUGAAUUAGUUUCAAUGGUAUGAAUAAAUGCAAGGAUGUGAUGUUACUAAGUCUGUACAUGAUGGAUUGAGUAGACAAAAAUAAAAUAAAAUAAAUUAAGAUUGUUACGUCAUGUUUAAAGAUAUUCAGUCUGGAAAAACAAGUCAUGAAAAGAAAGGAAAUAAAUAAAUAAAUAUGUGAAUGCAUGUGUCAUGCGAUUCUAAAUUUAAAUGAAUUUUAGAAUAGAAUUUUCAAUUAUGGUGGAGCCACAUUUGAUAUGUAUCUUUAAUGAUACAGGAGAGAUUGCAGAAUCUGUUCAGUAGCAUGGGACUUUUGCGCGAGUUCAAGCAUUAGGUAGGUGUCUUACACCUCAAACUUUUGUUUUUACAAUACUUGUUAGAGUUAAAUAAAUGGUAUUUUCUAUAAAUGUACUUGUGCUUGUGUAAUUGUGAAUGUUUAUGUCGAGGAAAAUAUAGUGGACUAGCUGGUUUGAAUAGAGUUAGUGGCGCUACUGUACUGACUGUCGAGUUAGAUGUAUAAUAACAAAAAUGAAGUGUACCGACUUUAGGGUGAUAAAUUAAUGGUAUAUUAUGAUUAAAUUAUUGAUGCUCAUGAAGUGUACCGACUUUAGGGUGAUAAAUUAAUGGUAUAUUAUGAUUAAAUUAUUGAUGCUCGAUUUAUAUAUGUAUACUGAUGAUGCGUUGUGUUUAAAUAAUUUAUGUGAAGGAAGCAGGUGUAUCGCACCUUGUCUUUUUAAGUUGAGUAAACUUAUUGGUAAAUUUUAGAAUUUAUUGUUUUAUUGCUUCGAUGAUAUUGAAAUGAGUAAGAGUACCUUAUGUGCAAUAGUAUACCUCUAUUGGUUAGGAUAAUGUUUGAACAAAUAGGAGUGACUUGUGUGUGUUGUUAUGUAUCGAAUUAAUUAUGUUAUUAUGGUCGUAGUGUCGAUAACUAAGUUUGUGUGGGAAUGAUGCUUAGCAACAGUUGUUAUAAUGCAUAUGAUGUUAAAAGAAAAAAUAAAGAAGAAGAAGAAAAGAAAAGAAAAAAAGGGGAUCGAUACGAAUGGAAAUUUCAAGUGACUUGAUUAGCUAUCCGGGUUUGGAUAGCUAAUGGUAUCAAUGAGGUUUCAUUGGUACCGGCAUUUAAGGUAACAUUGAUUAGCUAUCCGGGUUUGGAUAGCUAAUGGUAUCAAUGAGGUUUCAUUGGUACUGGCAUUUAGGGUGACAUUGAUUAGCUAUCCGGGUUUGGAUAGCUAAUGGUAUCAAUGAGGUUUCAUUGGUACCGGCAUUUAGGGUGACAUUGAUUAGCUAUCCGGGUUUGGAUAGCUAAUGGUAUCAAUGAGGUUUCAUUGGUAUCGGCAUUUCAGACGACAUUGAUUAACAAUUCGGGUUUGGAUUGCUAAUGGUAUCAAUGAGGUUUCAUUGGUGCUGGCAUUUUUUUAAAUUGAUUAGUCGAUCCCGAGCAAUUGGGUGACUAAUGAUGUUAGUAAAGAUUACUAACAUCGGCAUGGUUACUCCUGGUUCAAUGAAAAAGAUAGGUUUAUUUACUAUUAUGGGUCGAGAAUAGUUAAUGAUAUCAAUGGGUCACAUUGGUAUCGGCAACCAUUUCUGGUGUGAUUAGCUACUCCAGGUAAGGAGGUUGAUAGUGUCAAGGGUUCUUGACAUCGGCAACUUUGAUGGUAAAUCAGAUAUGAAUAAGAUUUGAUACUCCAGAUAAGAAUAGUUAAUGAUACUAAUCGGUUGUGUUAAUAUCGGUACGUGAAUGUAAGUGAUUAGUCUAUCCCAAUAUUAAAAGACUAAUGAUACUAAUGAGAUUUAUUAGUGCCGGCGAUUACUUUCUAGAAAAUAAAAGGGAAAAUAUUAAUUAGUUAUUCCAAAGGAAUGAGAUAAGCUAAUGAUAUCAAGAGAGAAAUGUCUUGGUAUAAAGAGAGAUUUGAUUUAUAAGGAGAUGAUGUUCGAAAAUCGUUGAGUCGUGUUGAGAUUUCCAAGAUGAAAUUAUUCUCAACAAAUUGGAAAGGAUAUUAGAUGAAUAUUGGUAAUAGAUUGAAAAUCCAUGUUGUAAAUGAGGUUUAUACCUAAUUUUAUGUCUCAAAAGAAAUUCUAUGAAGAUUAUUACCUAUCAUUGUUAUUGUUUGUUACUACCUUUUUAUAUUUAUGUGUACACGUUAAUUUCUAUUUUCAGGUCCAUCAAGGCCGCGUCUGGAAUGAUAUUGGUUUAGUUACCUUUUGCUUUUGACCAUGCAAUCAUUUGUAAAUUAAGAGUCUUAUAUCCUAAAACUUGAAAUGUAAUAUUAAUUUGUAAAUUUGAAUGUAUGACUUUAAUUUAAUGUUUGUAACUUUAAGUACCUAUUUAACCAUGCAUGUUUAGAGUUGGAAAUCGAAUCUUUAACUUGAAUUACAUUAUACGAUGUUAUUGAAUAACAUGUGCUGUGUUGAUGAUGUUGAGUUGGGUUGAGAUCCAGGAUGAUUGGAUCAGGAUGUGAAUUAAAAUUAGAAGUGUAAUAUGGUUUUGUCGAUAACUUGGGACCUCCUAUUAUAGGGGAGACUCUGCCGAAAUUUUGGUAGAAAUUUGGUGGAACCGGUAUAUAUAUAUAUAUAAAAAAAAAAAUUACCUGAAAAUUUCCAAUGUAUCGCGAAAAAGGACGUGGGAAAUCGGGGUUGUUACACUAGCAGUUGUGCGUUUUUCUCUAACACGAAGUUUGCUCUUGGUUUUGCGACCCGUGACUCAUCAUAAACCAACUCCAUAUUUUUACGGUUACAGUAUAAAGCUAUAUCCAAUCUAGCCUUGAUGUUGUCCUUUGUCUUCCCCUUCACAUCCAUGACGGUGUUGAAAAUGUUCUCAAACAUGUUCUUUUCGAUGUGCAUGACGUCAAGGUUAUGGCGGAGUAGAUUGGUCUUCCAAUAAGGAAGCUCCAAAAAGAUACUUCGCUUUACCCAAUUAUGGGUCAAACCAAAACCAGGAAACUUUUGCUUACCUGAUUGAAGGCCAAACACAAUGUCACCGUACUCUGAGACAACAUCAUGCAAUUCUUCACCAGAAAGACGCGGGGAUGCAACAUCUUUUUCAACUCUGCCAACAAAGAAAUCUUUUCUGUUCUUUCUGUACCUGUGAUGAAGUGGCAAGAAGCGAUGGUGACAGUCAAAAAAAGAAGCUUUACCUCCAUUUGCUAGCGUGAAUGCCUUGUUGUUUUCCAUGCAGUAUGGACAUGCGAGUUUCCCAUGCGUGCUCCAACUAGAAAGCAUUCCAUAAGCUGGAAAAUCAUUGAUAGUCCACAUCAAAGCCGCCCUCAUAAGGAAAUUUUGUUUCCUCGAUAUAUCAUAAGUCAGUGCUCCGGAGGACCACAACUGCGCCAACUCAUCAAUCAACGAUCGAAGACAAACAUCUAUAUUCCGCCCCGGGCUUCUUGGACCGGGUAUGACAGUAGAUAAAAACAUGAACUCCGGCCUCAUACACAUUCCCGGUGGCAAGUUAUAAACUGUGAGUAUGACCGGCCAACAAGAAUAAGGAGCAGUAAAUGACCCAAAUGGGUUGAAUCCGUCUGUACACAACCCAAGACGCACAUUCCUUGAUUCAGCUGAAAAGUGAGGAUGAACACUAUUAAAGCGUUUCCACGCUUCGCCGUCAGAAGGAUGAACCAUCACUCCAUCAACCGCAUGGUGUGCUUGGUGCCAUGUCAUGUGCUCAGCAGUCCUUGGUGACAUGAAUAACCUCUGCAGUCUAGGUGUGAUCGGGAAGUAUCUAAGUUUUUUAUAUACCACUAGAGUCUUUCCCCUGCCAGUUCUAGGUUUGUAAUGGGAAUGCCCGCAUGUCAUGCACUCGGUCAUCUCAGUAUUUUAAAGGUAGUAUAACAUGCAGAAGUUAGGGAACAUGUCAAUUUUUUGGUAUUUUAAACCGAGGGGUUCCAUCAUGGACUUCGUAGCAUAGAAGUUCUCUUUCAGCCUGUUCCCUUCAGGUAAAAUGCUUAUUGCCCAUUCAAUAAUCUUGUCAUACCCGGCCUCACUCAACCCAUGAUCUGACUUGAUGGUGAACACAUGUGCUACGGCCGAUAAUUUACUGUGGUUCGUGCAGCCAUCCCAUAAUGGUUCGUCAGAAUCUUUCAACAAAUCAAAAAACCUAGCUGCAUCUGCAUUAGGUUCUUCUUCUACGAUUGGACAUUGACUGUCAUUACCUUGAUUCAUUCUCAUUACAUCCAUAACCAUAUUUCUGUAAGGAUUAGUGUUGUCAUUUACCGCUUCAUGCACGUUGCUAGCACUAUAAGUAGACCCAACCACCGUUUCUUCCAUUCUCCUCUUACUACCAAAUACUUCUCCAUGUGCAUACCAACACUGGUAAUUCUCCAUAAACCCUUUGUGUAGAAGAUGCAUCAUUACAACAUCUGGAUGCAAAUACUUUUUAUUUUCACACUUCCUGCAUGGACACCUAAUACCGCCUCCAGUAAAAUUUAUGGGAAUAGAUGUUGCGAAAUUAAUAAAACCCUGAACCCCGUUACAAUAAUCCAUCCUCCGCAAUCCUUGGGGUGAAUCUCGAUACAUCCAUGAACGAUCAUCCAUGACUUAUAUCGAACCUCUAUAAAAUUAUGAUGACAUCAUGUAUUAAUUAACUAAGUUAGGUAAAUAAACUUGCAAAAAUAUUACUUUACCUCGAGAUUAUCCAACAAACCAAUCACAACUUCUCAUAAAUAUUAAAUAUUCAUUAUCAUUUAUCAACGUCCAUACGAAUUAAAAUAUAUAAAUUUACAGAAAUUACCACUCCGCAAUACCAUUGAUAAAACUUUAAACGGACCCAUUAAGCAAGCUAUUAAUUAUUUCAAAAUAGCACAUGUAAUUCGAUAGUUCGAUAAAGUUUUAACAAUUUACAAACAAAUACAAUCUUACAAAAUCUAAAACAAACCAUAACAGGUAUAAAAUUAUACAUUCAUAUACUACAAGUUUGUUUGAGAAAUAACAAUAAAACAUAUUGUACAUCUACUAACAAAAUACAUAUACUAAAAAAACAAUAAAUUUGACAUUUAAUUAAAUGUUAAAAUUUAAAAAGAUAGAAUUACUUACAAAAAAUGAUAAAAUCCGUCGGUAAAUCAGAACACGGAUGCUGUGACCACAAAACUUCAAGAAAUAUAACUUGUUGUGCUGAUAUGAGGAAGAUUAUUUUUUUGGGGGGGAGGGGGGGCUGGUUGUUUGCAGAUGGGGAGAGUUGGGAUUAGGAAGAAGAAGGAGAAAUAGGGGAGGAGAGGGUCAACAGAGCUGACAUAUAUUAACUUUUUCCGACGGUUUCACCGACGAAAACUCCGUCGGUGAUUCUGACAGACACAUAGACACGUCACCGUACGGAUCUGCCAUUUCAAAUCCCUCGGUGAGUCCGUCGGCAAUUUAAACGGCGAACUGGUCACGUCACUGUACGGGCUGUCUUUUUGAAUCCGUCGGAAAAAAAUAAGAAAAAAAUAACCCGCCAAAACCUCCACGUCAGCGACCCGCCUUUUUUUUUAAUUCAGAAACUUUUCCGUCCGUAAUUCAGUCGGUAACUACCGACGGAAAUUUUCCGUCGGUAGUUACCGACUGAAUUACGAACGGAAAAUAGUCCGUCGGUAGUUACCGACUGAAUUACGGACGGAAAAGUGUCCGUCAGUAAUUUCGACCUCAAAUUACCGACAGAAAUAUUACGUCGGUAAAUCCGUUGGUAUUUAGCGAAUUUAAAAGAAAUAAAACUUUUACAAAAAAAAAAACAAGUAAAAAAAUUAAGAAAUUAAAUGAAAAAGGACAGAAGUAGAAAUAUAAAAAACAAAGAAGAUCAAUAUGUAAUUUAGGAGGGGCAAAGAGAAAAAAAAAUCCACCUGCUAUAAAGUGUUUAAUUGCCACUGACACACAUCGCAACACGAGAAAAAGGACACGACAACACAUUUAACGACACGACAAAAAAACAAUUUUUACCAGAUGGAAGUGUUACACGCGUUACUCGAAGUGCACAAGUGUCUUCUAGAUGUUGACGUGUGCGAUGCACAUGCCAACAACUUUUUAAAAUCUAAUAUUAUAUAAUUUUGGUUAAAAAACCAUAAUACCCUUAACAAAACAAUAAAUAACAAAAAAAUCAAUUUGAAAAGACAAAAAUAACCCUUGACUGAAGACUUUUUUUUACUAUAAGGGUAUUUAAGUAAAUUCACUAUACAAGCAAGAGUGAAAAACCAAAAUUGCCCCUAAACCCAUGCAUAUGUAUAUUUUGCUUCCGAGAGCAUUUUAGUAGUUUUACUCUUUAUAAAAAAGUAGAAAGACCAUCUUACCCUCACCAUCAAGCCUACAUGUUAUUUGUUUGAGGGGCAAAAUAGUAAAUUUUAUUGUAAUCCAUGAGUUUGGUGCUAUAGUAGAGGUAGUAUUCUCACCACUUCCAUUUGUAGUCUAUUUUGUUAUAUAAAAAAGGAAAUCUCAAAAAUUUUGCUGUCCAUUAUCAUUUAUACCCUAAUCCUGUAACAAGUAUUUAAUAGUUACGAUAUUCAAUUGACAAGCAAGCAACCAUUAACAGGUAAUUUCAAGUUCCGAUGCUUUUUUUUUUUCUUGUUGUAACCUGAAUUAGAAUGUAAAAAUAAAAACUAAUAAAUUUUUUAUAAAGAAACUAAGAAAAAUAAAUAGAAAUUAAAAGAAAAAAAAUUAAAUUGAAAAUAAUAAUAUAUGAGAAAUUGAAAUUAAAUGAUUAAAUUUAAAAGAAAUAAAACUUUUAUAAAAAUACGAAGGUCAAAAAUAAGAAAUUGAACAAAAAAAAUAGAAGUAGAAAUAUAAAAAAUAAAGAGGAUCAAUAUAUAAUUUAUGGGCGGGAGGAAAAAAAAAGAAGAAAAAUUCACUUAUGAUAAACCGUUUAAUCGCCACUGACACAUACUACAAUAUGAGAAAGAGAACACGACAAUGCAUCCAAUGAUACAACAAAAGUGCAGUUUUUGCGACAUGGAGGUGUUGCACGCGUAGUCCAAAGUGUUUGAUAAUAAUACAUAUUAAGGGUAAAAUAAAAAAAUUUAUAUUUUUUUAUAUCUUGCAUAAUAUUAUCAAAUAUAAUUUUGUCUUCAUCUCCUUUUCUAUUUUGUUUCCUUUGUUUUUAUUAUUUUUGUUUAUUCUGUAUUAGAACCAUAACUAAACGCUACUUUAAAAAGUAGCUAGUGUGUAUUUUCAAAGUAUUAAAUUAUUAUAUUUUAUCUAAUAUUGUUUAAAACUAAAAAAUAAUUAAUGCAUAGUAACACGAUUUAAUUAUUAUGUCUUGUAAAUUAUUAACAAACAUAAUUUUACUACACACAAUUUUAUUUUCAUUUUUUUUCUGUCUUGUUUUUUUUUAUUAUCUUCAUUUUUUUUUCUGCACUAAGAGAGAACAAAACAUCACAUAAUAAUAUAUAUUCAAAAGAAAUUAUCUUAUUUUGUCAAAUAUUAUUAUUUAAAACUAAAUAAUAGUGAAUGUAUAGUACCACCAUUUAAUGUUUGUUCUCUCUCUCCUAUCUUGAUUGCAGAUUUCAGUUAAUCUGAAAAUCAUCAAUCUCAGCAACUCACUGUACCUGACCAAUACACCGGAUUUUACUGGAAUUCCAAAUCUCGAGAGUCUGAUUCUUGAAGGUUGUGCAAGUUUAUCUGAGGUCAAUCCAUCAUUUGGACGUCAUAAGAAGCUGCAAUUUGUGAAUCUUGUGAACUGCUAUAGUCUUAGGAUUCUCCCAAGCAAGCUUGAAAUGGAAUCAUUAGAAGUUUGCACUCUCAGUGGCUGCUCGAAACUUGACAAGUUUCCUGAUAUAGUAGGAAACAUGAACUGCUUGAGGGAGCUUCGUUUAGAUGGGACUGCUAUUGCAGAACUAUCCUCAUCAUUUCAUUGUUUGGCUAUGGUUUAGUUCUAUUGAGCAUGAACAGUUGUAAGAACCUUGAAAGUAUUUCCAGUAGCAUAAGUGGUUUGAAAUCCCUCAAAAGACUUGAUGUGUCUGACUGCUCUGAACUUAAGAACAUACCAGAGAAUUUGGGGGAAGUAGAAAGUUUGGAGGAGUUUGAUGCAAGUGGAACUUCAAUUAGACAGCCGCCAACGUCUUUUUUUCUUUUGAAGAAUCUUAGAGUAUUGUCUUUUAACGGAUGCAAAAGAAUAGUUGUGAAUCUCAC
rnacentral:lncRNA from 1 species